GACGUAGGGCGCGAGCGUUUGUCCGGAUUUAUUGGGCGUAAAGAGCUCGUAGGCGGCUUGUCGCGUCGUCCGUGAAAACUUGGGGCUCAACCCCAAGCUUGCGGUCGAUACGGGCAGGCUAGAGUUCGGUAGGGGGAGACUGGAAUUCCUGGUGUAGCGGUGAAAUGCGCAGAUAUCAGGAGGAACACCGGUGGCGAAGGCGGCAUCCUGGACCGGUAUUGACACUGAGGCGCGAAAGCCAGGGGAGCAAACGGG
rnacentral:rRNA from 1 species